AACGCGAAGAACCUUACCUGCCCUUGACAUCCGGAUGACCGGUGGGUAAUGCCGCCCUCUCUCCGGAGCAUCCGAGACAGGUGGUGCAUGGUUGUCGUCAGCUCGUGUCGUGAGAUGUUGGGUUAAGUCCCGCAACGAGCGCAACCCUUAUCUUUAGUAGCCAGCAUUUAAGGUGGGCACUCUAGAGAGACUGCCAGGGAGAACCUGGAGGAAGGUGGGGAUGACGUCAAAUCAUCAUGCCCCUUAUGGGCAGGGCUACACACGUGCUACAAUGGCGUAAACAAAGGGAAGCGAGCCCGCGAGGGGGAGCGAAUCUCAAAAAUAACGUCUCAGUUCGGAUUGUAGUCUGCAACUCGACUACAUGAAGCUGGAAUCGCUAGUAAUCGCGAAUCAGAAUGUCGCGGUGAAUACGUUCCCGGGUCUUGUACACACCG
rnacentral:rRNA from 1 species